rnacentral:rRNA from 1 species
GACAGAGGGGGCAAGCGUUGCUCGGAAUUACUGGGCGUAAAGGGCGCGUAGGCGGGAUGGCAAGUCGGUCGUGAAAUCCCUCGGCUCAACUGAGGAUCGUCGAUCGAUACUGCCGUUCUUGAGGAUUGCAGAGGAGACUGGAAUUCCCGGUGUAGCGGUGAAAUGUGUAGAGAUCGGGAGGAACACCGGUGGCGAAGGCGGAUCUCUGGGCCUUACCUGACGCUCAGGCGCGAAAGCUAGGGGAGCGAACUGG